rnacentral:rRNA from 1 species
AUUGAACGCUGGCGGCAUGCUUUACACAUGCAAGUCGAACGGUAACAGGGUGCUUGCACCGCUGACGAGUGGCGAACGGGUGAGUAAUGCGUCGGAACGUGCCGAGUAGUGGGGGAUAACGCAGCGAAAGUUGUGCUAAUACCGCAUACGUACUGAGGUAGAAAGUGGGGGACCUUCGGGCCUCACGCUAUUCGAGCGGCCGACGUCUGAUUAGCUAGUAGGUGAGGUAAGAGCUCACCUAGGCGACGAUCAGUAGCGGGUCUGAGAGGACGACCAGCCACACUGGGACUGAGACACGGCCCAGACUCCUACGGGAGGCAGCAGUGGGGAAUUUUGGACAAUGGGCGCAAGCCUGAUCCAGCAAUGCCGCGUGCAGGAAGAAGGCCUUCGGGUUGUAAACUGCUUUUGUACGGAACGAAACGGUCCUGGUUAAUACCCGGGGCUAAUGACGGUACCGUAAGAAUAAGCACCGGCUAACUACGUGCCAGCCGCCGCCGUAAUAC